GACAGAGGGUGCAAACGUUGCUCGGAAUUACUGGGCGUAAAGCGCACGUAGGCGGAUUUGUAAGUCAGGGGUGAAAUCCCGGGGCUCAACCUCGGAACUGCCUUUGAUACUGCAAAUCUCGAGUCCGAUAGAGGUGGGUGGAAUUCCUAGUGUAGAGGUGAAAUUCGUAGAUAUUAGGAAGAACACCGGUGGCGAAGGCGGCCCACUGGAUCGGUACUGACGCUGAGGUGCGAAAGCGUGGGGAGCAAACAGG
rnacentral:rRNA from 1 species